AAAAAAUAAAAUAAAAAAUUUACUAGUCUUAAAAAUUUUGAAAUCUAACGAAGACUCAACCCGACAAUCGCUUCGAUCUUUGUUCUUCCCAAAAGCUUCGAUCAAUGGGCUCUCUCUAUCCUCUCAUUCUCAAAAUGGAACUGCUAGAAAAUAGAGAAGAAGGUGACCAAGAGGAGCCUGUUGAAGAUGAUGCUGAUUCUACAAAUCGAGUUGUACGAUUAAUGAAGACACUCCAUCAGACUAGAGGCAAUGGUUUGGACUGAGUGAAAUCAAAAUUUUAUUCUGGUGAUUUGUCAAUUGGCUCUAAAUUGCCUCUUUUACUUUCUUUUCUGCAUUAUACGAACAAGUAUUUAUUAUAGUAAUAGUAACUACGAUUCAUAGAUGAUAUAUAUAGUUAUUACUAAAAGCAGUGAAAUCAAGCAUUGAUGGGCUAGGCUCAUCUCUACUGUCAUGAGUUGCCACUGUUCUGUUAUAAUCACUUCUGACUUAUGGGCUUGCCAUCUUGUGGCAUUAGCUAAUUGACACUUGACAUCAUACAUGCAAUUUGUAAACUGACAUUGGAUGCAAUAGUAAUAAAUUAUACAAAUUUAUUUAAUUUAAUUGAGCAUAUAAAGAGGAAUGACAAAUCCUACCCGGUUGAGACACAAGGCUUAGUUUGAUUUGGUUUGGUAUCUGCAGUUUGUGGGUGGCAAUUGUGGCAAGACUAAUAUGCAUUUUAUACACUUUAUUAGUAGGAUUACAUGUUACUUGUGACUGUUUUUACUUGAGUUCUGUGGUAAGGGAUUUCAAUGCUGUCUUAUAAGACUAACCACAUGAUAAAUAUAUGCUAAUCUCUUGAAGCUUUAUAGUAGCUGUUGCCCAGACCAAGUAACUUCUUGUUAAUUCUUGACAAUUCUAAAUACUAAUUUGGAAACCAGUAGUGUGCUUAAUUUGAUGAAAUCAUAUCAAUUUUAGCAAGUCUACAGGUUUGUUUGUUAACAUUUCAUUUCUGUAUUCUGUUUUUAAAAAUUUUAAAAAUUGAAAACGAAAACACCUUUGAUAAUUGUUUUUACUUUCAAAAAGUGACAACAAUUUUUAAAAUUUUAGGAAAUAAAAAAUAUUCAUUAACUGCUUUCAAUGUUCUAGGUAUUGCAUUAUUUACAAUCUGACAUCUUAUUAUAUGAGGAGUCAACAAUGCCUACAUGUAUGACUUAUUGGUUUUUGGCUGAGAUGGCAGUCCUUGUGCCACAUCACUAGGUCCCAUCAAGACAGCAGAUUCCAGCUGCCAUGCACCAUCAUCCUCAAGUUUAUGAUAUUGUUCUCCACCUUACAUCAGAUUGUUUCAGGGAGGCCAUGAUAUUGGCAACCAAAUGGGACCGGUUUGUCUUCCAUAGCCAGUGAUUUUGUAGCUUAAGGAAUCAUAUACACAUGGUUUAUGGAGACUUAGCUGCCAUUUUCUGAUCCUUGCAUACUGAUGAUUUGGUUGUGAGGUUCGCUGAGUCGCUGUGCCAAGAUGGACCAAAAUUGCAAAGAAAAUGAAAAGUUGAGCUUUGAGGUUCAAUGUAACUAACCAUGUGAAGAGAGUAUACAAUUCCAUCCUAAGGGUUCAUUUGAGAAUUGAUUUUUUUAAAUGAUUUUUUAAUUUUUAUGAAAAAAAUGUGUAAAAAAAAAGAGAGAAUGAAUUUACUUUUUGUAUUAACUUUUUAGCUAAAGUAUCUCUUCCCAGUAGAUUAAAACUAAUCUGUGAAUUCUACUGUACCAUCUAGAGUUGUGUUUAGAUUUGAAACUAUUUGUAGUCAUUGAAUUCGAGCUAUAUUUUAUCUUUAUUUUUUCUAAUUUAGACA